GAGGAGCUCCGGGAAGAGCCGCCAGGGCCACGCUUAUUCCCUAAGCUCGACUUGCGUUCUGGCUACCAUCACGAUCACUUCGAGUUUUUGGUGAUGCCUUUCGGUCUCUCCAAUGCACCGGUGACACUCCAGGCCUUGAUGCACAACGUACUUCGGACCAGCUCAACCCUCCGAAGGCACCUUGGGAGCAGCUCAAGGAGUUCCGCCAACAUUUUCUAGAUGUCCAACUCGAGGACGAGCUGUUUGCGCAGGGGGGAGAAAUGUUAUGACCAGAGGCCCAGUUAGCCAAACUGGCCCAGUUAUCUUAAUAAUAUUAGGGGCUUAGCCCAGUUUAUUACAGCCUAGGGAACUUAUAUAUAGUCAUGUAAUCAACACUUUUGAGAUUAAGCAAAGAUCAAUCUAUUUUGAUCGGCUCCAACUAGGAGCCGGUGCCCUAACCCUAGCCGCCUCUUCCAUCGCGCCGCCGCCCCCAUCCGUGCGAGACGGCGCCCCUGCGCCGGCGACCACAGCUGAUCCCCUCUUUCCCCUACAA
rnacentral:lncRNA from 1 species